rnacentral:lncRNA from 1 species
CUAUAAUGUGGGAGACCCGGGUUUGAUCCCUGGUUGGGGAAGAUCAUCUGGAGAAGGAAAUGGCAACCCACUCCUGUACUUUUGCCUGGAAAAUCUCAUGGGAGGAGCCUGGUAGGCUACAGUCCAUGGAGUCCCAAAGAGUCAGACACGACUGAAUGACUUUACUUCACUUACUUCUAGGAAGAAUCCACAUGCCAAAGAGCAACUGAAUCUGUGAGCCACAAUACUAAGCCCAUGAGCGGCAACUACUGAAGGCUUCAUGCUACAACAGGAGAAGCCACUGAAAUGAAAUAAGAAGCCCUUGCACGCACAACAAUAACACAAUAUGCUUUAUGCUAAAUAGGUAACAACUCCAUAUACAGUGCUUUUUGGGCAACGAGACUGUGAUGCCUCAUUGGAAGAGUGGCUGAAUGCUUCAGUGAGUCUGGGGUGAUGGGUAAACAGGUGUUUCCUGGUUCCAACUCUGUUUUAUCUCCUUAGAACACAUGAUGAAUAUGAAAAAUGUGCUAACCACAUAUGAAGUCCCCUACAGACAACCAGAAUUUCAGCAGGCAGCAGCGACCACCCAGCUGGAAGCUGGAAGAUUGACACGUGGGAACUUCAAGAUAUCCAAGAGUUAUCCGAGAAGAAAGUGUGUGGAGCUAUAAGGAUCCAACAGCCAGAAGGGGCCAUGGAGGCCAGCUUACCCCACCAGGCAUUUAGACUCAAAGGAACUGAGGCUCAGAAGCAAGGGAUCAUUGGUCUGAGACCACUUGAUCUCUAGGAGGGGGCAUUCAGGUCAAUGACUAAAAGUCUUCACUCCAAAAUAUGUAACUUCUUGGGAUCAAAUAUUGCUGUUGUUGUUCAGUUGCUGAGUUGUGUCUGACUGCAGCACCCCAGGCUUCUCCGUCCUUCACUAUCUCCAAGAGUUUGCUCAAACUCAUAUCCAUUGAGUCAGUGAUGCCACCCAAC